rnacentral:rRNA from 1 species
UAAGGAGGGGGCGAGCGUUGUUCGGAGUGACUGGGCGUAAAGAGCACGUAGGCGGGAUAGCAAGUCAGAUGUGAAAUCCUAUGGCUUAACCAUAGAACUGCAUUUGAAACUGUUAUUCUAGAGUAUGGGAGAGGUAGGUGGAAUUCUUGGUGUAGGGGUAAAAUCCGUAGAGAUCAAGAGGAAUACUCAUUGCGAAGGCGACCUGCUAGAACAUAACUGACGCUGAUGCGCGAAAGCGCGGGUAUCGAACAGG